ACGCUCGACACCUACGGGAGGCAGCAGUCGGGAAUAUUGCGCAAUGGAGGAAACUCUGACGCAGUGACGCCGCGUGCAGGAAGAAGGUUUUCGGAUUGUAAACUGCUUUAGACAGGGAAGAAAGAAAUGACAGUACCUGUAGAAUAAGCUCCGGCUAACUACGUGCCGGCAGCCGCGGUAAUCUGAGCGGGCUGGCAAGGC
rnacentral:rRNA from 1 species